AUAGCUCCUUGGACUUUUGACAGAGAUCAAGUGUAGUAUCUGUUCUUAUCAGUUUACUAUCUGAUAUGUCCUCUAUCUGAGGACAACAUAUUAAAUGGGUUUGGGGGAUUAGGGGAUGGAAUAGGAACUUGCUCCGUUCACUCCACAAAUCAACCUGGUAUUGCAGUACUUCAAGGAAUGGUGCACGGAAA